AUAUGGCUGACGAGUUCAAAAUAGGACGAAACGCGCAUCCUAGAU
rnacentral:hammerhead_ribozyme from 1 species